rnacentral:rRNA from 1 species
CCUACGGGGGGCAGCAGUGGGGAAUAUUGGACAAUGGGCGAAAGCCUGAUCCAGCCAUGCCGCGUGUGUGAAGAAGGCCUUCGGGUUGUAAAGCACUUUCAGUGGGGAAGAAAGCCUUGGGGCUAAUACCCUCGAGGAAGGACAUCACCCACAGAAGAAGCACCGGCUAACUCCGUGCCAGCAGCCGCGGUAAUACGGAGGGUGCGAGCGUUAAUCGGAAUUACUGGGCGUAAAGCGCGCGUAGGCGGUCUGAUAAGCCGGUUGUGAAAGCCCCGGGCUCAACCUGGGAACGGCAUCCGGAACUGUCAGGCUAGAGUGCAGGAGAGGAAGGUAGAAUUCCCGGUGUAGCGGUGAAAUGCGUAGAGAUCGGGAGGAAUACCAGUAGCGAAGGCGGCCUUCUGGACUGACACUGACGCUGAGGUGCGAAAGCGUGGGUAGCAAACAGGAUUAGAUACCCGAGUAGUC